UACGUAGGGCGCAAGCGUUAUCCGGAAUUAUUGGGCGUAAAGAGCUCGUAGGCGGUUUGUCGCGUCUGCCGUGAAAGUCCGGGGCUCAACUCCGGAUCUGCGGUGGGUACGGGCAGACUAGAGUGAUGUAGGGGAGACUGGAAUUCCUGGUGUAGCGGUGAAAUGCGCAGAUAUCAGGAGGAACACCGAUGGCGAAGGCGGCAUCCUGGACCAAUACUGACGCUGAGGAGCGAAAGCCAGGGGAGCAAACGGG
rnacentral:rRNA from 1 species